rnacentral:misc_RNA from 1 species
GUAGGUGAACCUGCGGAAGGAUCAUUAUUGAAUGAAUGUAGAGUUGGUUGUCGCUGGCCUUUGUUGGCAUGUGCACGCCUUCUCUUUCAUCCACACACACCUGUGCACCUGUGAGACGGAGAGCUUGCCCUUUAGCGAGGGUGUUUUCUCUGUCUGCCAAUACACAAACUCAUACCAUAAUUUGAAUGUAAUUGAUGUAACGCAUCUAUAAACUAAGUUUCAACAACGGAUCUCUUGGUUCUG